AGCGACAUGGCCGAGUGGUCUAAGGCGAUACAUUUAGGAUGUAUUCACUUCGGUGGCGCGAGUUCGAACCUCGCUGUCGCUA